rnacentral:lncRNA from 1 species
AAAGUUACAGCCACGGUCAGAAGGCGCCAAUCAGAAAUAUUUGCACACACACAGCCAUAGCUCAUACGGGUGCACUUUACGCUAGUGGAGCAGUAUUAGUUACUCUGAAUUGAUAGCCAAUGGACGCUGGACCUUACGCCGCCCGUUGAUUGGCUCGCCGGGGCUAUAAACACCAGGCUGCGGUGUCCAUGGGAAGCACUCAGCCGGCCAUCCAUCAUCUCUCCCACUGCAUACCAGCACCACAGGUGCGAGCCAUGGCGAGGAGCCGCCACUCUUCCUCCGGUCUCCUAUGCGUCCUCUUCCUCCUCGUCGCUGCCAUGGCAGCGGAGGGUGCAGGGUGCGCGCAGGCGGGACAGCGGAAGUUGCAGCAAGUUCCAGGGCCACAGCCGCUGCCACUACCAAACCCACGCCCACAGCCAGGGCCACAGCCGGUGCCACUACCGAUUCCGAACCCGCAGCCUGGCCCGAACCCACAACCUUUGCCUAACCCACAGCCAUUACCGCAGCCACAGCCGGACCCAAACCCGCAGCCACAGCCAUUGCCGCAGCCUCUUCCACAACCACAACCACUGCCGAACCCAAACCCGCAGCCACAGCCUUUACCACCACAGCCUCUGCCACAACCACUGCCGGGCCCAAACGCGCAACCGCUGCCAUUACCACAGCCCCUGCCACUACCACCGCCGGGCCCAAACGCGCCACCGCUGCCAUUACCGCCGCCUCUGCCCCUACCACCGCCGGGCCCAAACCCACAGCCGCUGCCGCAACCGGAUGCCCCAGGCUCAUAUCCGCAGGUACAACCGUUGCCGGACUCAAACACGCCCGGCCGACAGAAUAACGCACUACAGGGACCACUUGGAAAUGGCGCAGCCCCAGCCUUAUAUUCAUGCGGUGCAACCUACAUACAUAUAUUCUCCAUGGGUUUAUUAUUGUACUAUUUUGUUUAGAUAAAGUGACGCUUGUUCAUGUAAAUAGAUUUACUAUUUCUCUAGACUACAUAAAAAUAAUGUAUCGAUUGGGCAUGAUAUCUCUGUAUUGACAUUUAUACUAGUAUAUUAUUUGUAAUAAAUUUUUAUAUGGUUGUACAAGUAGUUUGUGUACUUAGAAAAAGCAGAACCAUUUGUGUAUGCAUUUGAUACACAUGUCGUUCUGGUAUUUUUAGUUAUAUCUCUGAUCUGACCAACUUGCGAAUGGUUGCACACCUUACCCUACACUCCACGUUCAGAAUCGUAAGGUGUGCCUGCGUUUUGAAUUUGUCUUCAAUCCACUAUUUUGUUAAAAAUAUAUAUUUCGAUUCCAUGGUGCAAAAUUGAUAUCAUUGUACCUGUAUGAAAAGUUGAAAACCACUUGAUAGUGAUAUCAUCAAUUUUUUGUCAAGACUUUAAGGGAUGGGAUGGGGAGAGGGAUUGACCGCCUACCAUGAAGUCCGUUCUUAUGUAUGUCACGAUCCUGGAGUGUUUGACCGACGCAACAAAAAUCUCCCACUGAAUUUUUUGCUGCAUUUUCCUCCACGGACUGAAAAAAAUGGUGCAAGAACAUGGCAAUAUUUUGAACACACGAAUGCAACAAAAAUAUAACGUAUGUAUCAAAUCAUUGGAAAGUAUUCGCAACAUAUACAAGUAAACCAUAAAACCAACGUAUAAAACAUAACAUGGCCAUAUAUUAUUGAUUGUGGUUGUUCAUAACGAGGUUAUGUUUAGAAAGUUGAAGUAUCCUUGGGAAAUCUACGGAAGGAGAAUGCGCAGAAGGUCAUUAAAGAACACAAAUAUUUGUUGUAUUCUCUCUAUAUGACACUAAUUAUUGUAUAGUGGUAUGAAUUUUAGAAGAGAGUGUUUAUUUCUCAAGGAGGAGGGUGAUGAUCUUGGACGUUUGAUAUAAAGGUCUAUUGACCAACUGCAUAUUUCAAUAUUAAGUGUAACUUAAGAUUUAGAUAUAUACAUAAUUGGUCAGUUGCACAUUUGUUGAAUGGCAAAUAAUAAUUUCUUAAGCUGGCAUGGAAAGUCAAGUUUUUUAUUAGAUAUAUGCAACACAUGAAAAGGGUACGAAAUUUGGAGGAUAGAAAUCAUAUAGAUUUUUUUUUCUUUGGUGCUGUUUGGAACAAAGGAUUGGUCCAUCAUGGAUUUAUUUGAAAAUCCUAGACUAGUCGAAAGAAAUUUAGGGGAAAUCAAACAUGAGGUGCCAUCUCAUUUUUAAUUGUUUUUACAUCUAGAUAGAAUUCAUAUGUUCUCUUCUCUUCAUGUUCAGAAUUCCUAUGUUUUUUCUACUCGACAUCGAAAUAAUAAUCUUCAAGUUUUCAUAUUUUCAUGUUUUCCACGUCGUUUUGGUUUAUACUGGGAUUGGGAUAUGAUCUCGGAUACAUGACAUUUUAAUUCUGACAUUUUCCCGAUUUCCACAUUAAGAAUUUGCGAAUGUGAAAUGGGGUUGUAGUUGUUAAACAAAGGAAGUGGUCUGGAAAGAGAAUUUGAGAGGCGGGAGACAAGCAAUUCAUAUUGUUUCAUACUAUCAACAUUGUCCAUUCUAAACCGGACAAUACGACAAUCAGAGGCAAAAACAUUAGCACAAUAUAAUCCUUACUCUAUCUGUAUAUAUGGUACUAAACUCAGCGUCCCCAUCAGUUUUGGAGCUCCGGCUCCAUGGAGCCUUUUUUGGAUUUUUUUUUUUUUGAAAACUCUAGGUGAAUAUAAUGGUUAGCCAAUGCAUGUAGCCCUAGCAGUUAAAAUUAUACCUGCAUUACUAAAACACACGCAUGCAUAUGACUGGAGAAGGAGGGGCAUGCAACGUCAUGAUAGGUUAGCUUGUCGGGGAGUUACAAGAUUUAAUAAUUUCAGACAAUAAGCAUGAUAAAAUCCUCAUUGGUAUCUACAGUUUUGAAACUGUGCCCAGUAUACCCAGACAAAGGGAGUGCUUGAGAAAACAUGAGUCCGCGAAAACUCGGCUGACGAAGCAUGCGACAGAGCCUUGAGGUGGUGAAGCUCACGCACGAGGUGGCUGCACGAUUGGGCCAGUUCCUUCCCGGAGACCUUUCCUUUGCAUUGUGAAUUGAAACUGAAGCGAUUGCUUUUUUACUUUGUAAAUUGCACUAACGUGUACACGGUUUAUCUUGAUUUCUAAAUGAUGGCCGGUCACAUAUACGUGUGAGCACGGGAUUGACAAAGCAACCAACAGAAUUCUAUUACUACGGGGAGGCAACUAAUAGAGUAAAAAUAUUGUUACUCGCCCUACUAUCAUCACAUAGAGACACACACACAAAAUCCAGCGCUGUGCUUAUUAACAGCUCCUGUUAGGUAGGUUCUAGGUUGCUGCAUUUGUAAUCAACCAACAUAACUCCAUUGCCAUGUUACACAGUACUUGUCACUCCAGCUAAGCUAGCUGCGAUGUUUAUUAAUGCAGCCUCCAAAUCUGGUUUGUUUCGCCCACCCUAUAAAACCACACAAUAUGUACCUCCAGUUCUCCACACAACACACACAAAGCACACACACACAAAGCACAGCAGGUGCAACACUAGCUGCAAGCACAAGAAGUAGGCAGCAAUGGCGAGGCAUCGCCUCCUCGCCGUGCUCCUCAUCGGAAUAGUUGCAGCCUCCGCCUUCAACCAAGCAGCUGCGGCUGGCCGAGGCCUUGCUGCCGUCGAGAAGUUUGCAGAGCUAGAGCCAAAGCCAGAACCCAAACCAGAGCCAAUGGCCAAACCUAUGCCGCCGCACCCAGAGCCAGAGCCUUGCAAACCUGAACCGAUGCCCAAACCCAAACCAAAGCCCGAACCAAAACCCGGACAGAAGCCCGAUCCAGAACCCAAGCCCAAGCCUAUGCCAAAACCAAAGCACAAGCAUUGCUCCAAACCAAAGCCAGGUCCUAAGCCCGAGCCAAUGCCGAAACCCGAACCAAAGCCGGAGCCCGAGCCUAAACCUGAAUCAAAACCGAAGCCUCCUCCUAAGUGCAAGCCACCGACAGCUCACAAUUGAUGGGAUACUUAUAUAUGACAGUUGAUGGAGGAGACCCCAUACGGAGCCACACUAUGCUAUUUCUAGAAUAAGUGGUGUAGUAUUUCUUGUAUUCCAUCUAUUUCUAUUGUUCCAUGCAUGUGUGAUGAGUAUUAGUACUCUGUAAUUUCUUUUUUGCUUGUUGGUAUAUGUUCAUCUACUUUGUAUGUGACUCGACUCGUUGUUCUUUUGAGUAUCUACGCAUGAUUGUAUUCAUUCACAUGAAUGAACUAUUUUGUCAGUGAACUGCAGUCUAUGUUGUCUUCUCUAUGGUGUGCAGUCUCAGUUAUUUUCUCUAUGGGAUUGUUUUUCAUAUUAUGUGGUCUUUUUGGGGGGGAAAGAUGAUGUCAACAAAAAGGAAGAGAAGGAUUCCCCAAAUAGCAGCACAUAUAUCACAUAUGAAGUGUAUAGUGUGCGUGUGCGUGUCUAGUGUUCUAGAUGUAUAAAGUGUACUCACACGCCAAACAGCGGCCUUUGUUCUCUACCCUUCACCUAUGAACUAAGUCCCGACCGAGUGCAUUAGUAUUUAUGCCCAGGCUCCGUGAGUGAGCUGGCUCUGCUGCUGGUUAUACUAGGUAAACGUCACACACAUUGCUACGGAAAUUUAUAGCAAUGAAAUUAUGAAAAAUAGCAUCUAUGGGAAUAAUACCACACAACAUUCGCACAUAUGACGAUAGAAAACCUAGAUGUAACUGGAGGUGGAUGCAUGUUAUAUUGUCUUGUGACCUUCAAGUUUAAUUAUUUUUUGCUGAAAUAUAAAUAGUAAAUAUAAUGUGGCGAAGAGCUUUCAUGUCUUUUGAUGAUGUGGAGGACUUGCAUAUGAUGGAAAGUGAAAAUUUGAGUGAUUACAUGCACGCUUGAUGAUAUGGAGGACUUACGUGUGUUGAAAAGUGGUUAGUGAAAGUUGAUUGGUUGCAUGCCCUUCAUAAUGUGAUUGACAUGCAUGUGCAAUUAAAUGGGAUGAAUUACUUAGAUAUAUAGCAUAUGUGUGAAAGGUAGCUACACCCCCUAGGUCAAGAUUGCCAAUAAAAGGCACCAUGAAAAUUAUUAUUAACACAUUUUCUCUUACUCAAUUCGCAACAAGAAAAAUCUCAUAGUGAUGGUGCUAGGCAACAUACGAGAGACCAUAAUAAUCUCUCACCGCCCCAUGGUACUGGCAGGGCCUGCCCUAUGAUUUUGAAAGCCCUUGGGUGAAGUUGGCGAAUUGAUUGUCUUUCGUUUCAGCACCCGACAAAUCCUUUUUAAGCAACAUUAGAGUAACCCUAAAACUGAAGAGGAAAGUAAAUACAUAAAAUAGAAUUUUAGAUAUUAGAGCCCUAACAUUUAACAUGCUUCAACGAAUGGGUGGCACUAGUAAUAUGGUUAUGGGUGUGUGGAAUGAGAGGCCUGGAGAAUGACAUGCUGGUGCCUCGGUGUCAUAGACAUCUGAGGAGGCGGCGAGACUCACGUCGUCAAGCUUACCCGUGAAGACGAAGAUUGCGAAUUGCAAUUAGGAGAACUGGUGAUGCCAUAAGAAAAUGUUCAUCACGCAUUUGUAAAAUGUUUUCAAAAUAUCAAACAUUUUGCAAAUACACAUAGAACUAAAAAGUGUUCAUAUUUUUCCAAAAAUACAGUGUGAACAUUUUGAACAAUACAGAAUGAAGAUUUCUUUUAAUACAUGAUGAACCAUUGAAAUAACAAUAUUUUCUGAAAAUACAAAAUGAUUUUUUUAAAUCCAUGAUAAUUUUUAACUACACAGUAAAUAUUUUGUUCACGCACGAUGAACAUUUUGUAGAAACAUGAGUGAACAAUGUCUGACGCCGGUGAGGGAGGGGCGAUGAUGGUGGUGCACUUUCGGCUUGAUCGAGUGAUUUUAGACAUCGCUGGGUGGUCUAUGGACCUGUAUGUAUAUUCUAUUUCUUCUGGUAAUCUUAUACUGACAUGUCAGUUCAUAAAUAGAUCCGAAUUUUUUUCGUAAAAAAAUAAGAAAAAUGUUCAACUUGUCUUAGUAAUUGUUCCUGAGAUUUAAAAAAAAAUAUUCGCAUUGUUUCAAAAAAACAUUACAUUUCAAUUUUUUCACAUGUUUAGAAAAUUGUUCAUGGCAAUAUUAAAAACGUUCAGGAAAUAUAAAAAAAAGUUGUAUUACAGUUUAUAAUAAUGUUCGUGGUAUAUAAAAAUUGUUCAUGAUGUUUAGAAAACGUCCAAACAUGUAUUGGAAAAAUAUUCUAUGUGUAAUUAAAAAAUGUUUAAUAUUUUGAAAACAAUCAACAUGUAUUUGAAAUAUGCAAAAUGAAAAAAAACUUGAAAGAAAAUGAACAGAAAAGUAAAAGGGAAAAAAUGAAAAUGAAAACCUAAACAAACCUGAUAAAGAAAACAGAUAAAACAAUCCAAAUAAAACAUUCUGAAAAUCGCAUGAAACAAACCAAUGCUACACCGCCUCCACUGCUACUGGGCCAGAGCCCGCACCGCAUCGCCAAAGGUGAGCGCCUCGCAGUACCUAGAGACAUAGCAUUUGCGCAAAAUGACCGCACUACGUAGAGACAUAGCAUUUGCGCAAAAUGACCGCACGCAUUGAACCAACUGUUGGCUGGCUAGUUAUUAGAAUGACAUGUAACUUUAUUCAAACUCAACAAAAUUAUAGGUACAAUGCCAAAAUAUGAUACAAGAAAUUGCAAAAUAACUCAUAUAACUAGGAAUUACAACGAAACCCUCUUGAGUCAAAAUAUGAUAAACAGAGGAAAAAACAUUGUAGCUCAUAUAAUCCUUACUCUUUUCGAAUAUAGGGCGGUGCUAAACUCGGGAACCCCAUUCGUUUUGGAGCUCCGGCUCCAUGGAGCCUUUUUUGGAAAAGCAUACAUGCAUAACUAAAACACACGCAUGCAUGAGACUGGAGACUGAGGGGCAUGCAACAUCAAAAUAGGUUAGUUUGUCGGAGAGUUAUAAAGAUUUAAUAAUUUUGAGACGAUGCGCAUGAUAAAAUCCUCAUUGGUAUAUACAAUUUUGAAACUGUGCCGAGUAUACGGGGCCAGCGAGAGUGCUUGAGAAAACACGAGUCCGCGAAAACUCGGUCCACGAAAGCAUACCACGGAGCCUUAGGGCUUCCAACAGGUGGUGACGCUCACGCACGAGGUGCACGGUCCGGCCAGUUCCUUUCCAGAGACCUUUGCUUUCCAUUGUGAAUUGAACUGAAGCAUUUGCUUUGUACUACUUUGUAUUGCAUUGCACAAACGUGUACACUGUCUAUCUUAAUUUCUAAAUGAUGGCCGGUCACAUGUACGUGUGAGCACGGGAUUGACAAGGCAACUAACAGAAUUCUAUUACUACGAGGAGGCAACUAAUAGAGUAAAAAUAUUGCCACUCACCCUUAGCUACUAUCAUCACAGAGACACACACGCAAAUCCAGCUGUGCUAUUAACACCUCUAGCUACCUCCGUAGGUCGCUUCAUUUGCAAUCAACUAAUCAACCAAUAUAACUCCAUUGACAUGUUACCCAGUACUACUUGUCACUCCAGCUACCUAGCUGCAAUUCUAAUUAAUGCAGCUUCCAGAUCUGCUUUGUUUCACCGGGCCUAUAAAACUACACAAUCUGUAUCUCCAGCUCUCCACACAACACACACGCGCGCACACACAAAGCGCAGCAGGUUCAACACUAGCUACAAUCACAAGUAGGCAGCAAUGGCGAGGCAUCGCCUCCUCGCCGUGCUCCUCGUCGGCACAGUUGCAGCCUCCGCCUUCAACCAAGCUGCUGCGGCUGGCCGAGGCAUUGCUGUCGUCAGGAAGUUUGCAGAGCUAGAGCCAAAGCCAGAACCGAAACAAGAGCUAAUGCCCAAACCUAUGCCACCCCCAGAGCCAGAGCCCUGCAAACCUGAUCCGAUGCCCAAACCCAAACCAAAGCCCGAACAAAAACCCGGACAAAAGCCCGAACCAGAACCCAAGCCCAAGCCUAUGCCAAAACCAAAGCCCAAGCCCUGCUCCAAACCAAAGCCAGGUCCUAAGCCCGAGCCAAUGCCCAAACCCGAACCAAAGCCGGAGCCCAAGCCUAAACCUGAACCGAAACCGAAGCCGCCUCCGAAGUGCAAACCACCGACAACUCACAAUUGAUGGGAUACUGUAUAUGAGAGUUGAUGGAGGAGACCCCGUACGGAGCCACACUAUGCUAUUUCUAGAAUAAGUGGUGUAGUAUUCCCUGUAUUCCAUUUCUUUCUAUUUUUCCAUGCGCCCGUGAUGACUACUAGUACUCUGUAUUUGUUUUUGCUUGUUGGUAUACGUUCAUCUACUUUGUAUGUGACUCGACUCGUUCUUUUGAGUAUCUAUGCAUGAUUGUAUUCAUUCACAUGAAUUAGCUAUUUUGUUAGUGGACUGCAGUCCAUGUUGUUGUUUUCUAUGGGUUGCAAUCUCAGUUAUUNNNNNNNNNNNNNNNNNNNNNNNNNNNNNNNNNNNNNNNNNNNNNNNNNNNNNNNNNNNNNNNNNNNNNNNNNNNNNNNNNNNNNNNNNNNNNNNNNNNNNNNNNNNNNNNNNNNNNNNNNNNNNNNNNNNNNNNNNNNNNNNNNNNNNNNNNNNNNNNNNNNNNNNNNNNNNNNNNNNNNNNNNNNNNNNNNNNNNNNNNNNNNNNNNNNNNNNNNNNNNNNNNNNNNNNNNNNNNNNNNNNNNNNNNNNNNNNNNNNNNNNNNNNNNNNNNNNNNNNNNNNNNNNNNNNNNNNNNGUCAACAAAAACGAAGAGACGGACUCCCUAAAUUGCAGCACACAUAUGAAAUGUAUAUAGUAUGUGUGUACGUGUCUGGUGUUUUAUUGGAUAGCUUAGAUACAAUCUAUUGAAGUAGUUGUAUGAUAGCUUGUUGGUAGAUGACAUGGACAUUUUACCAACAAGACUAACAUACAAUCUAUUGAAGAUGCCCUUAGACUGCUCACAGUGAGGAGUAACAUAGAGUAGCAACUUACCGAUGUUACUAGUCUAUGUUACUACCUCCAUAGUGGGUAGUAACAUAUGAGUGGUAUCAUGAAAGAGUUCAUUUAUUAGGCUAUAGACUCAUUAUGCCUUGAAAUGUGUGAUGUUAUAGUAACUAUCUAAGUUACCACAAAUCCCUCUCUCUUUAUUAAUUAGCUGCCACAUAAGCAAUCUUGUAUUGAAAUGUGUGAUGUUACUAGUUAAGUUACUCCCAUUGUGACUAGUCUUAGGUACUCCCUCCGUCCGGGUGUACAAGUCAUUCGCGUAGUUCUAGGUCAUCGAUUUGAGGAAUUAAAUAUGUGUUAUAUGUCAUGAAAAGUAUACCACUAGAUUUCCACACGGAUGUAGUUUCUAAAUAUAUAUUUUUUGUCACAUAUAAUACAUAUUUAGAUAGUUAAAUUAUCGACCUAGAACUACGCGAAUGACUUAUACACCGGGACGGAGGUAGUAGUAACUUAACACAUUCCUAGAUAAUUUUGCCUAUGUGGCACGUAUUUAAUGAUGAAAGAGGUGCUUGUAGUAACAUAAUAUGUUGCCGUAACAUAGCGCUUUCUGAGGCAACAUGAGUCUGUGAGCUAAUAAAUGAAGCCAUCUAUGACACUACUACUAUGUUACUUUGCAAUAUGGAGGUAGUAACUUAGACUAGUGUCAUAUGCAUGACACUAGUAUAAGUUACUCCCCACUAUGACCAGCCAUACUAGGUAAACGUCACAUACAUUGCUACGGAAAUUUAUAGCAAUGAAAUUAUAAAAAAUACCAUAUAUGUGAAUAAUACCACACAACAUUCUCAACAUAUGACAAUAUAAAACCUAGAUGUAACUGGAGGGUGGAUGCAUGUUAUAUUGUCUUGUGACCUUCAAGUUUAACUAUUUGUUGUUGAAAGAUAAUAAAUAGUAAAAAAUAAUGAGGUGAAGAGCUUGCGUGUGUCUGAUUAUGUGGAGGGCUUGCAUAUGAUGGAAAGUGAAAAAUCGAAUGAUUACAUGCACCCUUAAUGAUGUGGAAGACUUGCAUGUGAUGAAAAAUGGUAAGUGAAAGUUGAUUGGUCGCAUGUCCUUCAUGAUGUGGUUAAUUUGCAUGUGCAUUUAAAUGGGAUGGCUUAAUUAGAUAUAUAGGAUAUGUGUGUGAAAGGUAACUGCACCCCCUGGUCAAAUUAGUGGCGGAGCUACCCAAAAAUUGCAACACAUUUCUCUCUCUCAAGGCUGGGCCGGCUAUGGCCUAUCUGGCCUUGCUGUAGCUCCAACAAUGAUCAAGACUAUCAAGAAAAGGUACCAUGAAAAUUAUAAUAACAGAUUUUCUCUGACUCAAUUUACAAUAGGAAAAAUCUCUCAUUGAUAGUGCUGCGCAACAUACGAGAGACCACAAUAAUCUCUCACCCAUCCCAUGGUGCUGGCAAGGUCAACAUUUCAAGAUGGUAUGUUGGCUCAGUCUUUCAGACGUGCUCAUAGGGGUAGGGUGUGCGUGUGUGCGUUCAUAGGGGUGAGUGUAUGCGCGCGUAUAUGAGCGCUUGUGUUUGUACUGUGUUCAAAAAUAAUAAUUUUGAGAGCCCUAGUGUGAAAUUGGCAAAUUGAUAGUCUUGUUUUUUCUUUUAUUGCGCAUGAAAACUCCUUUUAAGCAACAUUAUAGUAACCCUAAAACUGACAAGGAAAGUAAAUAAAGUACAUAAGUAGAAUUUUAGAAAUCAGAGCACUAACAUUUAACAUGCUUGGAUGAACGGGUGACUUUCGUAAUAUGGCUAUGGGUACGAGGAAUGAAAGGCCUAGAGAGUGACAAGCUCAUGCUUCACUAUCACAGACGUCUGAGGAGGCGGCGAGACGCUCAUGUCGUCAAGCUACGAGACAAACCUGUGAAGAUGAAGAUCACGAAUUACAAUUAGGAGAACUGGUGAUGCCAUGUGUCUGUGUCGCACACCGAUUAUGAUUCUUUUCCUUUUUAUGGACCAGUUCAACCAACGGCUAAAGGCCUAAAGCUCGCUUCUUGGAGAACGUGUAUACCUCAAUUUUAGGAGAGCUUCUUCUCAGUGCUCAUUAGUGCUGCAGCGCACAAGAGCUCGCGCGCAUGGGUCAUUGCAUUAAAAGGCAAAGCGGUUGCUCGAUUGGCCACCCACUACACUCUUUUUUUGCAAGCCUUUUUUUUUCUGGGAUUGCUCUGUUAUUCAAUGAAAAAUAUCCCACCGGUUUUCUAAAUUUAAAAAUUCAUGAAUAUGAAAAUUUUCAAAAAUUUGAAAAACAAUUACAGUUUGAAGAGAAUGAAUUGAAAAACGUUGACAGUUUUGAAAAAAUCACAAAUUCAUUUUUUGUGAAUUUGAAAAAGGUGAUUCAAAAAAGUUUAUGAAAUUUGAAAAAAAUUCUCAUGAAUAUGAAAAAAUGGUCACAAAUUUGAAAAGAAAUGUUAGAGAAGUUUAAAUUUAAAAUAAUCAGAAAAAGAGGAAAAAGGCAGAAGAGUAAAAAAGAAAAAACAGGACGAAAGUUUCCAUAACCAAAGUUGGCCCAUAAGCUUCUGGAAGCUUCCUAAAACCGACAGGAGGGAGCUUCCGCUCAUGUAAAUGUCAUAGAUUGGGCAGCCCUUUUACAAUCUAGUGAAUCAAGAGGUGCGUGCGCUUUCUAUCAAUAACUUGGAAACCAAUGGUAAAUAGCAUAUUUCCACUUUUAGCGUUCCGUGGAACGGAAUUCGACCACAGAUCCACAGUAUGGGCUAAUCCCAACAUGUUUUUCUAACAAGCUAGUUUUUUCUAUUGGGGCAGAUGUCUCACUCUAACGAGUAGGAUUUUUUUUGUUCUUAUUUUCACAUUUUUCUUUUUAUUUUUUCUAAUUCUCUAGAAAACGCUCUAUAACAUAUAUGGGUGAUCAUAUAAUUUAAUAAGUGUUCAUGUACUUUAAAAAUGUUCAUCACCUAUUUAUAAAACGUUUUCAAAAUAUGGAACGUUUUUAAAAUACAAAUACAAUUACAAAAAGUGUUCAUAUUUUCUGAAAAUAUACACUAUGAACAUUUUGAACAAUACGGAUGAAAAUUUAUUUUAAUACAUGAUGAACCUUUGAUAUCACAAUAUUUUCUAAAAAUACACAAUGAUUUUUAUAUACACAAUAAAUAUGUUGUUCAUACACGAUGAACAUUUUGUAAAAACAUGAGUGAACAUUGCCCAGCUCAGAUGAGGAAGGGGCGAUGAUUGUAGUACGUCUUCGGCUUGCUCGAGUGAUUGUAGACAUCGCUAGGUGGUCUAUGGACCUGAACAUAAGUUCUAUUACCUCUGGUGUUCUUGUAUUGACAUGAUGGUUGAUAAGUAGAUCGGAUUUUUUCAAUAUUUUUUUAAGAAAAAUGUUCAACUUGUCUUACAAAUUGUUCCGAAGAUUAAGAAAAAUAUAUUCGCAUUUUCUAAAAAGAACAUUGCAUUUCAAUUUUUUCACAUGCUUAGAAAAUUGUUCAUGGCAAUAUUAAAAUAUUUGUGAAAUAUAAAAAUGUGUUAUUACAGUUUUGGAAAAAUGUUUGUGGUAUAUAAAUUUUUUUCAUCAUGUAUUUAUAAAACAAUCAAACUUGUAUUAAAAAAAUAUUCUAUGUGUAUUUUAUUUUUUUUAUUUUUUUUAAUAAUUUCAAUAUGUAUUUGAAAAAUAGAAAAAUGAAAAACAAUACAUGAGACAAUGAACAGGAAAAGUAAAAGAGAAACCAAAAAUGAAAAACCUAAAUAAACCCAAGAAAGAAAACCCUGACAAAAUGUUAUGAGAUCACAAGAAACAAACAAAUGCUACACACCUGCACCACUACUGGGCCACAGCCCACACCGCAUCGCCAGAGGUGAGCGCCAUAGCAUUUGCGCAAAAUGACCGCACGAGACAUAGCAUUUGCGCAAAAUGACCGCACAAAUUGAACAAACUGUCGGCCAGCUAGUUAUUAGAAAGACAUGUAACUUAAUUCAAACUCAACAAAAUUAUAGGUACAAUGCUUUGGAUCAUAGAUACAAGAAAUUAGAAAAUAGCUCAUAUAAGUAAGAAUUACAAUGAAACCCUCUUGAGUCAAAAUAUGUUAAACAGAGGAAAAAAACAUUAGCACAUAUAAUCUUUACUCUAUCCGAAUAUAUGGCGGAGCUAAACUCAGCAACCCCAUUAGUUUUGGAGGUCCGGUUUCAUGGAGCCUCUUUUUUUUUGGAAAAUCAUGCAUUAAUAACUACUAGUAAAUGGCACGUGCCAUGCACGUGUAGAGAUAGUUAUUAACACACAUACAUGUGGGUAAUUUUAAGUAGUAUCAUACUCCCUCCGUCCCAAAAUAUAAGAACGUUUUUAACAGUAGCAUAGUGUCAACAACGUUCUUAUAUUCUGGGACAAAGGGAGUAUUUCACAAAAGAAGUUAAGUAGUAUCAUGAUUUGAACUAAUUAAUUAUUAAUUAUAAAACUUUGCAUGAUUUACUAAAUAUAUAUGUGUAAUACCGAAUUUACACAAUAUAGAAUACCAUAAGAAAAAGGAUACCAGGUUCGUCCUCAAAUUUGUCUUAAUAAAGUUUAAGUUUAACUUCAGUUCAAAACUGCGAUACUUACUAUGGCAGAGGAAAUAUUAGAUUGAGCAACGGAGAGAGUAUUGUUUGCAAGUUAUUUAUCGUUAGAAAUAAAAUAAUAAUUUAAACAUUAAUUCUGUCUGUUUUGCAGAUCAGAGUUUUUUCACAGAAUUAUUGAUAAAAACUAAGAAAACAAGGGUAAUAAAUAUUUGUAAAAUAAAUUUAUAAGAGAAAGUAAAAGCUAUUUAAAUGUACAUAUAUUACAUUUUCACCGUUUGCCACUUUUUUUAAUCUGUUUUAGCUUGUGCGCCUUUACCCAGGCUACACCAUCACAUGCUUUCUCUCUCUCUCUCUCGUCAUGAUGCGUACUUGCUAGUUGCUACUGCUAGUACUUCUCGUGCCACUCUACUCUACACCUGCAUGCAUCACCGGAGUCUGCUGGAAAUGGAAAUUUCUGGAUAGUGGCUUGGCUACAAAGAACGCAAGGAGAGUCACAUGCACAUCCUAGAAAGUACUACUACAUCUGAGAGUGGCAGACUGGCAGCACAGAGAAAUGGCCCAGCGAAUCCCUGCAAUGUAGGCCAUUAGAUUGACAUAUCCAGCGGUUCAUAUGCAGCCACGUAUACCGGUAACACAAGCCAUUUAAUUUGAGCCGUCCAAUUAGGAAGAUCCAACGGUUCAUAUGACUUGCUACUCCUAUACUAUAUAGGAGUAUAGAAAACACACGCGUGCAUGAGACUGGAGAAUGAGGGGCAUGCAACAUCAAAAUAGGUUACUUUGUCGGAAGUUAUAAGAUUUAAUAAUUUGAGACAAUACGCAUAAUAAAAUCCUCACUAGUGCAGUGUCAAAAAUGCUCUUAUAUUGUGGGAUGGAGGAGUACAAUUUUGAAAUUGUGCCCAGUAUACCGGGCCAGAGGGAGAGCUUGAGAAAACACUGAGUCAGCGAAAACUCGGUGUACGAAGCAGACCAUGGAGCCUUGGGGCUUCCUAACAGGUGGUGAAGCUCACGCACGAGGUGGCUGCACGACUGGGCCAGUUCCUUUCCGGAGACCUUUCCUUUCCAUUCAUUGUGAAUUGAACUGAAGCGAUUGCUUUUUACAAACGUGUACACUGUCUAUCUUAAUUUCUAAAUGAUGGCCGGUCACAUGGACGUGUGAGCACGGGAUUGACAGGGAAACUAACAGAAUUCUACUACUACGAGGAGGCAACUGAUAAAGUAAAAAUAUUGCUACUCACCCUACUAUCAUCAGAUGGAGACACACAAACAUAAUCCACUGGACAAGGCAACUAACAUAAUUUCUAUUACCACGAGGUUGCAACUAAUAGAGUAAAAAUAUUGUUACUCACACGUACUAUCAUCACAGAGACACACACGCAGAAUCCAGCUGUGCUUAUUAACACCUCUAGCUACCUACGUACGUAGGUUGCUUCAUUUCUAAUCAACUAAUCAACCAAUAUAACUCCACUGCCAUGUUAUACAGUACUACAGUACUUGUCACUCCAGCUAGGUAACUGCAAUGCUAAUUAAUGCAGCCUCCAGAUCUGCUUUGUUUCACCCAGCCUAUAAAACCACACAAUAUGUACCUCCAGUUCUCACACAACACACACACACACAAAACACUAGCUGCAAGCACAAGAAGUAGGCAGCAAUGGCGAAGCAUCGCCUCCUCGCCGUGCUCCUCAUCGGGAUAGUUGCAGCCUCCUCUUUCAACCAAGCAGCUGCGGCUAGCCGAGGCCUUGUUGUCGUUGGGAAGUUCACAGAGCUAGAGCCAAAGCCGGAACCCAAACCAGAGCCAAUGCCCAAACCUAUGCCCCACCCAGAGUCAGAGCCCUGCAAACCUGAACCGAUGCCCAAACCCGAACCAAAGCCUGGACAGAAGCCUGAACCAGAACCCAAGCCCAAGCCGAUGCCAAAACCAAAGCCCAAGCCCUGCUCCAAAUCGAAGCCUGAGCCGAUGCCAAAACCGGAACCAAAGCCGGAGCCCAAGGCUAAACCUGAACCGAAACCGAAGCCGCCUCCAAAGUGCAAACCACUGGCAACGCACAAUUGAUGGGAUACUUAUAUAUGACACUUGAUGGAGGAGAACCCGUACGGAGCCACACUAUGCUAUUUUUAGAAUAAGUAAUGCAUUAUUCCCUGUAUUCAAUUUCUUUCUAUUGUUUCAUGCACGCGUGAUGAGUAUUAGUACUCUGUAAUUAUUAUUUGCUUGUUGGUAUAUGUUCAUCUACUUUGUAUAUGACCUGACUCAUAGUUCUUUUGAGUAUCAAUGCAUGAUUGUGUUCAUUCGCAUGAAUGAACUAUUUUGUCCAGUGGACUGCUGUCUAUGUUGUUUUCUCUGUGGGGUACAGAAUCUGUUUAUUUUUUCUAUGGGAUUGUUUCAUAUUAUUUGAGGAAUUGGCAGCUUGUACUACCUAUAUAUUAAGAAGGAGAAAAAUAAAUACAAAAGUUGCAUUACAUGGCUGGGUUUUUAGGUAUCCCCCACCAAAAAAGAGGUAAAAUACAUCAAUCAGGUUCAGGUUCCGGUCAGUUCUCGACUCCAAGAGCCAAUGGAUGGAGAGAGCUGGUUGAAGAAUGUCCUGCUUGAUGAGCUGAAGGAUGGCAGACUUUUGUUAGGCCUUGUGAUCGAAGAUGCGUCGAUUUCUUUCCUUCCAAAUGUUCCAGGCAGUGUAGAUUGCUGCAGUUUUAGCCUCUUUGCCUAGACUGGAGGCGAAGUCGUUCCACCAAAGAGCAAUGGAGGUUGCAUGCUAGGCUGGAGGAAUAAGAGAGGGAAUGCCCAGGUCACCGUUCACAAGAAACAAGAUGACUCGGGCAAAGGGGCAUUGGAGAAUAAGGUGCAGAGGGGCUCGUCUUAUUGGUCGCAGAGAUUGCACUUCUCACUGUGACGAAAAUCGUAGAGGUUGAACACUGAGUAAUUUUUAAACACAUGACAAUUUUUAGAAUGAACAGUAAAUAUUUUUUCACAGAAAAUGAACAUUUUGUAAAGACACAAUGAACAUUGCAAAAUGUUCGACCAGUCUUAAACAAUGUUCAUGAGAUUUUACAAAUAUAUUUGCAUUGUUCCGAAGAAUGUUUGUCACAAAUUAUUUUCACAUGUUUAAAAAUAUUCAUGGCAAUAAUAAAAAAAUGUUCAUGAAAUAUUAAAAAUUGUUCAUACAGUUUUUGAAAAAUGCCCGUGGUAUAUAAAAAUGUUCAAACAUGCAUUCCAAAAAUGUGCAAGGUGUAUUUCAAAAAUAGUUACCAUUUAUUUGAAAAGUUCAACGUGUAUUUGAAAAUUUGUUAACUUGCAUUUGAAAUUUUAAUUAAUUAAAAUAAAAUAAAAUAAAAACACAAAAAAUAACAGGAAAAGUAUAAGUAAAAAACUGAAAAUGAAAAACCUAAAGGAAAGAAAUAGAGAAAAGACAGGAAAAAGGCAGACAAUACCUUCCCAAAACUGUACGAAACUUACCAGCGGUACACAGCGAGAGCUAUAUCUCGCUUAUAGUGAGAUGGUAUGAGCUCUCGCAUGAAGCGUAGCGCUACUAACAACUGGGCCACUAUCCGUUCGUGUUAGAUUAGCAGGUCGCAACCUUAUUAAGAAAAAGAGUUGUAUAUUCACUAGUUUUCCGUGUUUUUUUUGCUUUUGUUUUUGCUUGUUUUUUCAACAGCUUUUCUUCCAUUCUUUCUUGGUAUUACAGGUUUUUUUUAUUUUCUUUGUUUUCUCGAUUUUUUUCACUAGCUUCUUACUUUUUCUUUCUUUUUUCCUUUGGUUUUUUAAUUUAUUUUCUCAUUUCUAUAUUAGUUUCCUUUUGUUUUCUUAUUUCUUUUCCAGUUUUCCUAUACACAUUUUUGUAUAUAUCUAAUACAUUUUUCUAAUACACAUUAAGUAUUUUUUAAUACAAGAUUAAUAUUUACUGAAUACAUAGCAACAUUUUUUCUAUACAUAUUUAAGAUUUUUUAAAAUGCUUCAUUAACAUUUUCAAAUAUCAGAUUAACUUUUUUUAAUACAUGGUCAAAAAAUUCUAUACACAUUCUACAUUUUUUCCAGAUCCUUAAUUAACAUUUUGCAAAUACAAGUUUAACAUUUUUACAGUACAUGGUCAACAUCUUUUCUAUACACAUUUAAGAGUUUUUCAAAUGCUUGAUAAACAUUUCAAAUACAAGUUUAACAUUUUUAUAAUACAUGGUAACCAUUUCUUAUACACAUUUAACAUUUUUAAAUUGCUUGACUAAUUUUUUAAAGUACUUUUUUAACUUUUUUAAGUGCUUGGAUUAACAUUUUAAAAACCAUGAUCACCUUUUUAGACACACAUUAUAUACUACAUGAGAAACAUUUUCUCUAUGUACAUUUAACAUUUUUCAAAUGUUAGGUUAACAUUUUUUUGAAAUAUUUUAUAUAAAGUUUUUUUAAUAUAUUUAUUUAUAUUAUUUUAGGUGUAAAUGAAAGUAAAAAUGAAAAGCAAAUAAAGAAACUAAAAACGAGGCAGUGGCCUCCCCACGCACUGGGCUGGGCCAUACGCUCGCGCGACUGCAAGACGCUUCAGCGAGUGGUUGCCCCACUAGAAGCGAGAUAUAGCCGCGCCCACGCUACGCUGUCUCAUCCACUACUGGGCCAUGGUCCACGCCGCAUCGCUAGAGGUGAGUGCUGUGUGCGCCUUGUAGUAGGCGAGACAUAGCAUUUGCGGAAAAUUACUGCACGAUUGAACGACGAGUUAUCUUUUUUUAGAUGACCUAUAACUUUAUUCAAACUCGAUAAAAUUAUAGGUAAAAGGCUUCGGAUAAUAGGUCCAAGAAAUUAAAAACUAAGUCCUAUAACUAAGAAUUUGAAACUAUUUUCUCAAAAAUUUAAAUUCAUGAUUUUACAAAUUUGAAAAACAUCAUGACUUUUGAAAAUGUUUAAAAGAUUGAUACCAUGGAGAUGACCGUUCUGAGAAAUUUUACUAUUUAUAAAAGUCAUGAACGUUUUCCAAAUUUUUAAAAUUUUCGAAUAUUUUAAAAUUCAUUUAUUUUUCAAAAUUUUAUGUUUUUAAAAUUCAUGAACAUAUUAUUAAAUUUAUGAAGAUUGUUCAAAAGCAAAAAUAUUUAAAAUUACUAUAUAUUUUUUAGUUAAAAAAACAAAUUGUACAAUUUUUAAAAUCCAGGAGUUUUUUUUUCAAUUCAUGAACAUUUGCAUGAGUUAAUCUAUAAAAAAAAAAUAUGAAAUCGGUUUUUAGCUAGCGAGCGGGAGAAGUGGCAAUGGGGAGCGAGUGCGCUAAUGGGUCGUAGUGUGUCGUAUGUUCCACGUGAGCGUACAGUACAAAUGCGGAUGCACAUACAUACGGACAUACAAUCAUCUCUAUGAACGAUCGCACACCCCCUAUCCCUAUGAGCCCCUUCGAAUGACUGUGCUGACAUAUCAUUUUGAGAUUGAGAAAGCCACCACAUACGCCUUCGUAGUUGACGGGAACAUCUCCUCCCACUGAAUGAGCAUCGGAAGCCUGGAAUAAUCUAGAAAAAUGAGCAGACCAAUGUCAAGUCUAGGACUUGAAUCUUGGUAGGCUGGUUUCACUACGAAGAACCUAACCAUCUAAGCUAGGCACGGUUCACAGGAGUGCCUGAAGAUAGGAGCUCCCCGUGAAAUGAUCAAAGGCCUUGAGAUGGUUUCCUGGGCGGCGUUCCAUCGAGCUUCACUCUUUCCUUUGAAAGAUAAAAACACCGACAAGAUGGUCAAGUACUUGGUGUGCUAGUUCCAAGCAUGUGAUGUGUAUUAUCUAGAAGUACAAAACUACCAUUCUCUCUAGUUGUUGAAAUAUUCCUAAAUCUCUUAGGUUUCUUUUAGAAAAAAGUAUAUGCUUCUACUAGAAAUUAAAAAGGAAUAUGUCGAUAUCAAGAUGAUAUCAAUUACACCCCGGCCUCUGCAAAAACACGGUGUCAAAGUUAUUCAAGACAUCGAAGCUGCGACAACUUAAUUAUUUUUUAAACAAAAUAAAAAAAGAACGAUAAUACACGGCGAGCAGCAACAUCGAGCGAGUGAGAGAAGCGGACGAGGGGUUGUAGCCCUUAUAUCAUAUCAUGCCUAUCCACUAAACUCCUUUGAUACCAGCAAGAAUUUUGUUGUUACUUUCUCUUCAAAUGCGCCAACCGACAAUCUAUCGAUCGAGAAUAGGAGAAUGCUUCUCUUGAUUUUUCCUUCUAUAUUUGUACAGUGUACAACUCUCUGUUUAUGAGUAUUGGGGUUUUUCCUCUCUUAGUGAAUGUAACGCAAGAAAGAAGGCAGCGCUGCUGCAUUUUGCUUAAAUUCACUAGAUAUGUGGGUUGGGUGGGUCAAUGCUAGGUCUAACCGCCAAGUUAUUUAACUUCACGCAUCUUACCUAUCCAUAUUUCUACGUUGAUGAGGUACGUAGAAAAUAGUAAAAAGGAGAUGAAAGGUUGACACAUGGUUAGCAAAAGAAAAGCGUGAGCAGUCCAACCAUGCAUGCUAAUCAACGGGAACAUACGCCGGGCUGGAACCCAUGCCCUACUGCUACAAUGAAAAUAAUUAGUGAGGGCCGGAGUGAAGUGUAGAAAAGGCCAUGGUGCAUGCAUGCUGUGGGAAACGGAUGGGGGGUCAUUUUCGUGUGCACCACUGGUCCUUGUGACAAGAGGAUACCCGUAGCUAGAGCUGGCCCUCUCUACUUACGUUAAACCACUACUAUCUUUAUCAUAUGUAUGUUUGUAUGCAUGUCGGUCUGUACCUACCGGCAACUGCUCAGCACGCCACACAACCAUACAAUACAGAUCACAUCUAUAUAUACAUCUUAAGUAUAUAUGGGUGCCCUACAUAGACGUGUGGUCUGGUGUGAGCAAGGGACAAGGCAACUAACAGCAUUUUCUGUUUGCAGCAGGGUGCAACUAAUAGAGUUGAAAUACUAUUACUGGAUAUGUUGUUGUGCCGAUCCACACACCCACCGACGGCACUGGUUUACAGGGAUUGUGGCACACGCGUCCGGGUCUGAUUGGCUCCUCCACCCUAUAAAACCACACCGUAUGUGUCUCCACUUCUCCACACAGAGCACACCCAUCCACCAUCCAUCCAUCCAGGCUAGAAGCAGCGGCGAAACAAGUGCGCCCCUAGCUGCGAGCACAAGGGGCAGGCAGCAAUGGCGAGGCAUCGCCUCCUUGCCGUGCUCAUGCUCCUCGUCGGGGUAGUGGCAGCCUCCACUUUCCACCAAGCGGCCGCCGCUGGCCGGGGCCUUGCUGCCGUCGAGAAGUUUGCGGACCUGGAGCCAAAGCCAAAACCUAAACAAGAGGCAAUGCCCAAACCAAUGCCGAAGCCUGAACCCAAGCCGAUGCCAAAGCCCGAGCCCAAGCCCAAGCCCAAGCCGAUGCCUAAACCUGAACCCAAGCCAGAGCCCAAGCCCAAGCCGAUGCCCAAACCUGAACCCAAGCCAGAGCCCAAGCAUAAACCAAUGCCUAAGCCAGAGCCUAAGCCGGAACCUAUGCCUAAGCCGGAGCCCAAGCCUAAACCUGACCCGAAACUAGAGCCACCACCAAAGCACAAGCCGCCAACAGCUUACAAUUGAUGGGAUACUAUAUAUGACAACAGAAAGAUCAAGGAGAUCAUGGCCGGGGCCACAAUCGCGAUAUUUCUGGAAUAAGUAGUGUAGUAACAAUGUCAUUCUAUCCGGCUAGCUCGAUAGCGAUGCAUCUUUCUGUAUUCUAUGUAUUUCGUUACAUUUAUAAAGUUUCUGUUCCAUGCAUCCAUGAUGAGUAUUACUACUUUGUAAUUGUUAUUUGCUUGUUGGUGUAAGUUCAAUUUUGUACGUGACUCGUUGUUCUAUUUGUGUAUCGCAUGAAUGAGUUAUUUUGUCUAGAGGACCGCAGUCUAUGUUGUUUUUCUCCAUGGGAUGCAGUAUAACAUUUAUUUGGAGAGUAUUGCACUGGAGCAAGCGAUAUUCUUUAUAUAUGUGACAAGUAACCUUAUGAAAAUUUUGGAAGAUUUUAACAAAGGUAGAAAGGUGGCUCCUUUGUAAAAUCAAGAAUAUGUGGUUUAGUCUCUUAUAAGGUGGGGCCCAUUGUCCGUUCAAUCAAGGCCAAGGCAUGUCAUAAUUUUAGCCAAACACUCAGCGCAAACUAAAAAGAGACGGGAAACCAGGAUCCUGAGACCGUUUUUAUGUUCGUACUCAUGGGACACAAUCCAUAAUUCAUUUUGCAUUUUUCUUCAAGUUUAUGACACUUGUUUGGAAUUGUCUCGAGUGUGUAAUGUAUGAAAAGAAAUUAACCAAUUGAAUGGUUUUAUAAGCUAUCCUCAUUUUACUGGAAGGGUGUUUAUAUGUCUCAACAUGAGACCCCAUAUGUCAUGGAGCGGGAUUGGUGAUGCUUCAGGCCUUACAUUCAGUCGUGAUGUUUGAAGUCCAAAAAAGUUAAUUUAAUACUUCACUAAAUGUCGCUCUGGUGUUUUUCGAAAAAAAAUAAUUUAUUACUUCAAUUGGCUCGUCAGUCAAACCGGUUGAAUGUAACUUGUGCUACCGUCUCCCCACAACUGCAUACAAGGACCAUAGGCGCCUAAUCAUCUGCACAUUGUAGAGAGCACCAAGUAAAGAUACAUCAUGUGGCUUGGAAGAUAACUUGCAACAAAUUUGAUUAGUUGUAUGGUUAAAAUACAAUCAUUAUGGCAAUACAAUAUUGGCCAUAAUAAGGCAGACAUGCGAACGCGCAUAUGAGCCUAGGUGGUUACAACCUUUCAAAUGAUGUGUAGAAAAACGUUCUACUUUGGUUGUGUUGUCAUAGCACUGUUGCAUACCAUGUGUGAGAUUCUUGUUUGAUUUCAGCUAUAGUUUAUCCCUUUUUGUUACAACUUUCACUUCGUUUGAAGCCUGCAGUUGUAGCCUCCCCUUCGUUCGAUGGGGAAUCAAUUGCCCCAAAGCCACUACCCUGACAUCACACACCCACAUCAAUGAAGCCACCUCCACCACCCCACAAUCCAAAGACACACAUAUCUGCCAAGGAAAGGUUUAAGGCUCCCGGCUAGCAUGAACGGUGGAGAAAUAUUUCUGGAAAAAGGGAUAGAAUCCCCAUGCCCCGGCCCCACGACAUUACGUGAACAUCGUCCGUUGUCUCCUUUGUUGUCAGAUAAAUACUUUUUUUUUAAAUGCGAAAAUACACCCAAAGGGCAUCUUAUAAGUAACAUUUAUCAAGGGAAACUGUGGACAGUACAAUGGAAAGAUAACAAGAUACAACUUGACUUGCAAAAAAUAAAACGUACUUCAAAAAUCAUACUGGAUGUCUUCUUCAUUCCCUCGAGGGGAGCAUGAAGAAUGCACACAACCAGUAGUAAGGGAAAGAGACACUUGCAAAAACAUCCACACCAAACCAGGCUUUGAAUACCACAAUAACCACUUGCCGCUAGAAACAAGAUCUAGUAACCAAUGAUGAAAUGUCGGUUGGGGCAUCACCCUACACAACGCAAACUUGCAAUCCUUCACGACCAAUUCAAUGGGUUGGAGAAACCGUACCCGAUGUAUACUUGUGUCUCUUGAGCAAGCAAUACACAUGAUUCAUUGCAUUGGUCAAUCAUGUUUGUGGUUCUUGAGAUGGCUACGUGAGAAUUAAUCAUUUUUGGUUUUGAUGUACUUCUCCGCGUGGUAGCUGGAUUUACAUAAAGCAAAAAGGUUAACAAUUAAAACUAAUCACAAAGGCGGACCUGAGAUGGCUCAUUGAUGACCUAAAGCGCAUGGAUCACCAUUGUACCAUUUGUGGUAGUAUUGAGCAAAUAUUAUAACACUAGUAGAAAACAGGGCUUUGGUCCAGGCCGGGUCAGCCCAUUAGUCCCGGUUCAGUCCAGAACCGGGACCAAUGUGGGCAUUGGUCCCAGUUCGUGAGCCCAGGGGGCCGGCCGGGCCACGUGGGCCAUUGGUCCCGGUUCAUCUGGACCUUUUGGUCCCGGUUGGUGGGAUGAACCGGGACUAAUGGGCCUCGCUCCUGGCCCACCACCAUUGGUCCCGGUUGGUGGCUUGAACCGGGACCAAAGGCUCCCCUUUAGUCCCGGCUCAUGUCACCAACCGGGAUCAAUGAGGUGCCUAUAUAUACCCCUCGCUCGCGAGCAGAGCACCCCAGUGCUCUGUUUUUCUCUGGCCGGGCUUGGUGGUGCUCUAGCUCACCUCCUAUGCACACAAGGUGUUCGAUGGAAUGCCCGAGCCACACUACUUAAGCUUUCUUCUCUCCAAGCUCGACCUCCAAGCUCCAUUUUCCAUAAUAUUUGUCUAGGUUUAGCGGUCCGUCACGCCCCGUCCCCGUCUUCACCGCCGUCGAUUACCCGCGCCGAGCUCAUCGCCGGCACCACCGUGGUGAGCCUCUUGUUCUUAUCUUCUUUCUGAAAGGAAAAAUAUUCUUACUUGUAUGUUUACAUAGAUACUUGUAUUAUUUUCUUACUUUUAUUAUUGCAUCUUAUAUAGUGCGAUGGUUUUGGUAUCCACCCCCGUCGGCCCUCGUCCUGUCUAUGAUUCGGAUGUGGUAUAUAUAUUAUCUUUAUAACUAUUGGUUCAUUUAUUGUUUAUGAAAAUUAUGCCGACCAACGUGACAUAGAUUUUAUUUAUGUAGGAUGUAUGUGAAUCGGAAAUGCCAACCGACCCUAUUGUCGAGAGGUUAAAUUUAGUUGAAGAAGAAAACAAUUUGUUGAAGGAAAAAAUAAAAAAAAUUGAGGAGGAGAAGAUGAUAUUGGAGUUGCAUGUUGCGGAUGUCGUCGAUGAUCACAAGAUCAAGAUGGAUGCAAUGCGCUUGAAGAUUAGAAAAUAUGCCAUUCAUACCAAGGCUUGGUAUCAUUAUGCCGUUGGAUCAAUUGUUACCUUGGUUGCGAUUAUGAUCGCAUUUGUUUUCGCAUUGAAAUGUUUUACAUAGUUUCAAUGUAUGGUUUAAUUAAUUAGAUGCUCUGGAGAGCUAUAUGUUGUUAGAUGAGAACUAUGUAUGCACUUUGGUUUUAAUGUGAUGAUGAACUUCUAUUAAUUUGGACACUUAAUUAUAUAUAAUGCACGCAGAUGAACCGGCAAUGGAUGUACGGUGACAGACACACCUGCGAGUACAUUAAGGGCGUGCAUGAGUUUCUCGAUGCGGCUGAGGCAAACAAGCAGAAUGGUUUUAUGUGUUGUCCAUGCACUGAAUGUGGGAAUACGAGAUCUUACUCUAACCGGAAAAUCCUUCACUCCCACAUGCUUUACAAGGGUUUCAUGCCACAGUAUAAUGUUUGGACGAGGCACGGAGAAAUACGGGUUAUGAUGGAAGACGGCGAAGAAGAAGAGUACGAUGACAACUAUGUGCCCCAUGAAUACGGUGAUGCUGCAAAGGGGGGAGCUGGUGAAGAUCAAGAGGAACCAGACGAUGUGCCCAAUGAUGCUGCAACGGGUGAAGUUGCUGAAGAUUAAGAGGAACCAGACGAUGUGCCCGAUGAUGAUGAUCUCCACCGGGUCAUUGUCGAUGCAAGGACGCAAUGCGAAAGUCAAAAGGAGAAGCUAAAGUUCGAUCGCAUGUUAGAGGAUCACAAAAAAGGGUUAUACCCCAAUUGCGAAGAUGGCAACACAAAGCUCGGUACCAUACUGGAAUUGCUGCAGUGGAAGGCAGAGAAUGCUGUGGCUGACAAAGGAUUUGAGAAGCUAUUGAAAAUAUUGAAGAAGAAGCUUCCAAAGGAUAACGAAUUGCCCGACAGUACAUACGCAGCAAAGAAGGUCGUAUGCCCUCUAGGAUUGGAGGUGGAGAAGAUACAUGCAUGCCCUAAUGACUGCAUCCUCUACCGCGGUGCAUACAAGGAUCUGAACGCAUGCCCGGUAUGUGGUGCAUUGCGGUAUAAGAUCAGACGAGAUGACCCUGGUGAUGUUGACGGCGAGCCCCCCAGGAAGAGGGUUCCUGCGAAGGUGAUGUGGUAUGCUCCUAUAAUACCACGGUUGAAACGUCUGUUCAGAAACGAAGAGCAUGCCAAGUUGAUGCGAUGGCACAGUGAGAACCGAAAGAAAGAUGGGAAAUUGAGAGCACCCGCUGACGGGUCGCAGUGGAGAAAAAUCGAGAGAAAGUACUGGGAUGAGUUUGCAAAGGACCCAAGGAAUGUAUGGUUUGCUUUAAGCGCGGAUGGCAUUAAUCCUUUCGGGGAGCAGAGCAGCAAUCACAGCACCUGGCCCGUGACUCUAUGUAUGUAUAACCUUCCUCCUUGGAUGUGCAUGAAGCGGAAGUUCAUUAUGAUGCCAGUUCUCAUCCAAGGCCCUAAGCAACCCGGCAAUGAAAUUGAUGUGUACCUAAGGCCAUUAGUUGAAGAACUUUUACAGCUGUGGAAUGGAAACAGUGUACGUACAUGGGAUGAGCACAGACAGGAGGAAUUUAACCUUAAGGCGUUGCUGUUCGUGACCAUCAACGAUUGGCCCGCUCUCAGUAACCUUUCAGGACAGACAAACAAAGGAUACCAUGCAUGCACGCACUGUUUAGAUGACACUGAAAGUAUAUAUGUGGACAAAUGCAGGAAGAAUGUGUACCUGGGCCAUCGUCGAUUUCUUCCGACCAACCAUCAAUGUCGAAAGAAAGGCAAGCAUUUCAAAGGCGAGGCAGAUCACCGGAAGAAGCCCGCCAUGCGUAACGGUGAUCACGUACUUUCUAUGGUCAAUGAUUUACACUACAUAAUCUUUGGAAAGGGUCCCGUUGGACUAGCUGUUCCGAAUGACGCUGAGGGACACGCACCCAUGUGGAAGAAGAAAUCUAUAUUUUGGGACCUACCCUACUGGAAAGACCUAGAGGUCCGCUCUUCAAUCGACGUGAUGCACGUGACGAAGAACCUUUGCGUGAACCUGCUAGGCUUCUUGGGCGUGUAUGGGAAGACAAAAGAUACACCUGAGGCACGGGAGGACCUGCAACGUUUGCACGAAAAAGACGGCAUGCCUCCGAAGCAGUAUAAAGAUCCUGCCAGCUACGCUCUUACGAAAGAAGAGAAAGAAAUCUUCUUUGAAUGCCUGCUCAGUAUGAAGGUCACGACUGGCUUCUCGUCGAAUAUAAAGGGAAUAAUAAAUAUGCCAGAGAAAAAGUUUCAGAACCUAAAGUCUCAUGACUGCCACGUGAUUAUGACGCAACUGCUUCCAGUUGCAUUGAGGGGGCUUCUACCAGAAAACGUCCGAUUAGCCAUUGUGAAGCUAUGUGCAUUCCUCAAUGCAAUCUCUCAGAAGGUGAUCGGUCCAGAAAUCGUACCAAGGCUAAGGAGUGAUGUGGCGCACUGUUUUGUCAGUUUCGAGCUGGUGUUCCCACCAUCCUUCUUCAAUAUCAUGACGCACGUCCUAGUUCAUCUAGUCGACGAGAUUGUCAUCCUGGGGCCCGUAUUUCUACACAAUAUGUUCCCCUUUGAGAGGUUCAUGGGAGUCCUAAAGAAAUAUGUCUGUGCUAGGCCAGAAGGAAGCAUCUCCAUGGGCCAUCAAACAGAGGAUGUUAUCGGGUUUUGUGUUGACUUCAUUCCUGGCCUUAAGAAGAUAGGUCUCCCUAAAUCGCGGUAUGAGGGGAGACUGACUGGAAAAGGCACUCUUGGAAGAGACUCAAUAAUAUGCAGGGACGAAUAUUCUUGGUCUCAAGCACACUACACAGUUCUACAGAACUCUACCUUGGUGACCCCGUAUGUCGAUGAACACAAGAACAGUCUGCGUUCCAAACACCCGGAGCAGUGCGACGACUGGAUUACAUGUGAACACAUCAGGACUUUCAGCAGUUGGUUGGAAACACGUCUCAGAGGUGACAACACUAUUUGUGAUGAGUUGUACUUGUUGUCCAGGGGACCAUCUUUGACUGUAUUGACUUACAAAGGAUAUGAGAUAAAUGGGAAUACAUUUUACACGAUCGUCCAAGAUCAAAAGAGCACCAACCAAAACAGCGGUGUCCGCUUUGAUGCAGCAACCGAGAGCGGAAAGGACACAUAUUAUGGUUACAAAGUGGACAUAUGGGAACUUGACUACGGACCUGAUUUUAAGGUCCCUUUGUUUAAGUGCAAAUGGGUCAAUCUGUCAGGCGGCGUGGUACAGGUAGACCCAUAGUACGGAAUGACAACAGUGGAUCUGAAAAAUCUUGGAUACACUGACGAACCGUUCGUCCUAGCCAAUGAUGUGGCACAGGUUAUCUAUGUGAAGGACAUGUCUACCAAACUGAGAAAAAGAAAAGAUAAGGAAGCGAAUACAUCAUACGAUGAGCCAAAGCGCCACAUAGUUCUUUCAGGAAAAAGGGACAUCCUAGGAGUGGAUGGCAAGACAAACAUGUCUGAAGAUUAUGAAAAGUUUCAUGAAAUUCCUCCCUUCAAUGUCAAGGCUGACCCAAGCAUCCUGAUAAACAAUGAAGAUUAUCCAUGGUUACGGUGCAAUAAGCAAAUGACACAAGCGAAGAAAAAGUGAAGACUUUCUCCCGCAACUAUUAUGAUGAUACCAUGCCAACUUUGUAACACACGAACAUGCUACCAUUGUCCGUUUUGUACAUGCACAUGCUAUGUGGGUGAAAUUAUGAUACCAUGCCAACUUUCAACUUUUUCAGAGUUCAUUUGAAAUGCUUUCAUGUCUUAUGGUUCGGCCCUCGUAAUACCAUGACCAUUAGUCCCUGGCCCAUGCCAACUUUCAACUUUCAACUUUCUAAAACUAAUGGCACUAACAGAAAGUUUAUAAUUUUGCUCCUCGCCCCUGGCCCAUGACCAUUAGUCCCGGUUUGUGCCACAAACCGGGACUAAAAGGUUGGUCCUCGUUGCGGGCAGAGUUUAGUCCCACCUCACCAACCGAAGGGGGCUCACACCGGUUUAUAAGCCCUUCCCUCUCUGCAUUGUUGAGCUCCUCUCAAAGUGAAAAUAGAUGCCCUAAUAGAGAAAAGUUUAACCUAAAUUCAUAGUGAAUUUCUCUGAAAUUCAUAGAAAUUUACUAGGAAUUUAGGUUGAAUUUUCUCUAUAAGCGCAUCUAUUCUCAUUUUUUAUUAAGUUAAUCACAAACUUGUGAUUCAAACAAUUUUCAAAGAAUUCAAAUUUUAACUAUUCAAAUUUGAAAACUAAUGGCACUAACAGAAAGUUUAUAAUUUUUCUAAAACUAAUGGCACUAACAGAAAUUUUAUAAUUUUGCUAACCUAAAAGCAAACAGAAUUAAAAAUUAAAGCAAAAAACAAAAGAAAAUAAAUAAUGCAAAAAACAAAUCAAAAAAACAGGAAAAAACUAUUUUUAUAGUAAAGUUAAUCACAAAAUAAAAUAAAUAAAGCAACAAAGAAAACAAAAAAACAAAAAAAGUGUUUUGAAAUUUGAAAACUAAUGGCACUNNNNNNNNNNNNNNNNNNNNNNNNNNNNNNNNNNNNNNNNNNNNNNNNNNNNNNNNNNNNNNNNNNNNNNNNNNNNNNNNNNNNNNNNNNNNNNNNNNNNNNNNNNNNNNNNNNNNNNNNNNNNNNNNNNNNNNNNNNNNNNNNNNNNNNNNNNNNNNNNNNNNNNNNNNNNNNNNNNNNNNNNNNNNNNNNNNNNNNNNNNNNNNNNNNNNNNNNNNNNNNNNNNNNNNNNNNNNNNNNNNNNNNNNNNNNNNNNNNNNNNNNNNNNNNNNNNNNNNNNNNNNNNNNNNNNNNNNNNNNNNNNNNNNNNNNNNNNNNNNNNNNNNNNNNNNNNNNNNNNNNNNNNNNNNNNNNNNNNNNNNNNNNNNNNNNNNNNNNNNNNNNNNNNNNNNNNNNNNNNNNNNNNNNNNNNNNNNNNNNNNNNNNNNNNNNNNNNNNNGCAGAAAACAAAACAAAAAAACUGGAAAAAUAGCAACAAUAAGUAUUUUGUUGUAAGUAGAAACAAAAUAAAAUAAAUAAAGCAACAAAGAAAACAAAAAACAAAAAAAAGUGUUUUCAAAUUUGAAAACUAAUGGCAUUAACAAAAAGUUUAUAAUUUUUCUAAAACUAAAAGUAUAAAGAAUUAAAAAAUAAAGCAAAAAAUAAAAGAAAAUAAAUAAAGCAACAAAAAAACAAAAAAAUGCCACCUACUGGGCCCCCACGACCUGAAUACGACUAGAAACCCAUCCAAGGGCCAGGAUUCAGGCCCGCAGGAGGCCUAGUAGGCCCACAAGCAUAGCAGUGACAAUUAGGCCCGUAAGCCUGCAAUGGAGAGGAGCUCGAGAGGGGUGCGGCAGUGGGGCUUAUAAACCAGUGUGCACCCCUCUCAACUAGCGAGGUGGGUCUAAACUUUCGACGCAGCAGCCGCACAAGGCCUUUGGUCCCGGUUGGUGGCACCAACCGGGACUAAAGGGGGGCAUUGGUCACGGUUGGUGACACGAACCGUGAUCAAUGCCCCCCUUUAGUCCCGAUUGGUUCUACCAACCGGGACCAAAGGCCGCCGCUUCCCACCCUUUGGGCUGCUGAAAAUAGGCCUUUGGUCCCGGUUGGUGGCACCAACCGGGACUAAAGGGGGGCAUUGGUCACGGUUUGUGCCACGAACCGUGACCAAUGCCUUUGUUGUAUAACUAGCACUUGUGAAAAUUUCCAUUCAGUUCGUCUUCCCCGCCCGACGCCGCCAGGCUGCCCCUCUUCUUCUCCUCUUUCUUUUCUCCUCUAUUCCUUUCUUCUUCUCCUCUUUUUUUUCUUCUUUUUUUUCUUCGACACGUGGGGGGGGGGUCGAGAACGUCGGGCAUUCAUGAGAGAGGCGAGGAAGAAGGGGAAGAAGAGGGAGAAGAAAAGGAGAGGAAGAAGAGGAAGUCUUCUCCUCUAUUCUUUCUUCUCUUCUUUUUUCUUCUUCUUCUUCCUAUAUGUAUUAGUUUUUUUAUUUAGGUUGUUAAUUAGUAGAUAUUAAUUUUGUUCAUAUAUGUAUGGAUGCAUGUGAUAUGUAUGUAUGUAUGUAUGUAUCAGGUAUGUCGUUGUCGAUAUACCCCCUACCCGAUAACUUCGACAUGAGGGGGUCAAGAGGGGGUCUAGGGUCGCCGAGGGGUCGAGGGUCGUCGAACAUGAGAGGAAGAAGAGGAUAAAAAAAGAAGAGGAAGAAGAAAUAAAAAGAGGAGAAGAAAGAAUAGAGGAGUUCUUCUCCUCUAUUCUUUCUUCUCCUCUUUUUUUUUCUUCUUCUUCCUCUUUAUUUUAUCAGGAACGAGGGUCGUCGAGGGUCGCCGAGCGGUAGAGGAGAAACCCUAAAUAGAAAGUAUCGUCGGUGUGAGAUACAUGUACCGUCGGUCUCGGACACUACAUCCACGUCCCACAAGUGGCGCGGGCUUCGACGCCCACGUCACUUGUGGGACGUGGAUGUAGUGUCCGACACCGACGGCCACAUGUAUCUCACACCACGAUACUUGCUAUUUAGGGUUUCCUCUACCAUUCGGCGACCCUGACCCUCGACGACCCUCGUAUCCGAUAAAAUAAAGAGGAAGAAGAAGAAAAAAAAGAGAAGAAGAAGAAAAAAAGAGGACAAGAAAGAUUUCUUCUUCUCUUUUUUUUUCUUCUUCUUCCUCUUCUUCUCUUUUUCUUCUUCUUCUUCCUCUUUAUUUUAUCGGGAACGAGGGUCGUCGAGGGUCACCGAGCGGUAGAGGAGAAACCCUAAAUAGAAAGUAUCGUGGGUGUGAGAUACAUGNNNNNNNNNNNNNNNNNNNNNNNNNNNNNNNNNNNNNNNNNNNNNNNNNNNNNNNNNNNNNNNNNNNNNNNNNNNNNNNNNNNNNNNNNNNNNNNNNNNNNNNNNNNNNNNNNNNNNNNNNNNNNNNNNNNNNNNNNNNNNNNNNNNNNNNNNNNNNNNNNNNNNNNNNNNNNNNNNNNNNNNNNNNNNNNNNNNNNNNNNNNNNNNNNNNNNNNNNNNNNNNNNNNNNNNNNNNNNNNNNNNNNNNNNNNNNNNNNNNNNNNNNNNNNNNNNNNNNNNNNNNNNNNNNNNNNNNNNNNNNNNNNNNNNNNNNNNNNNNNNNNNNNNNNNNNNNNNNNNNNNNNNNNNNNNNNNNNNNNNNNNNNNNNNNNNNNNNNNNNNNNNNNNNNNNNNNNNNNNNNNNNNNNNNNNNNNNNNNNNNNNNNNNNNNNNNNNNNNNNNNNNNNNNNNNNNNNNNNNNNNNNNNNNNNNNNNNNNNNNNNNNNNNNNNNNNNNNNNNNNNNNNNNNNNNNNNNNNNNNNNNNNNNNNNNNNNNNNNNNNNNNNNNNNNNNNNNNNNNNNNNNNNNNNNNNNNNNNNNNNNNNNNNNNNNNNNNNNNNNNNNNNNNNNNNGAGGCCACCCCAAACCCUAGAGAAGCAACAUCGAGGCCACCCCAAACCCUAGAGAAGCAGCAUCGAGGCCACCCCAAACCCUAGAGAAGCAGCGUCGAGGCCACUAAUAUAUCCAUCUGUCAUGUUUGAAUAAUAAUUGCCAUGUUGUCAAUAUUUGUAGAAACUAUGGACACCGCCCGAGACGAAGUACAAGAAGAGUUGUUGGGGGACAUAAUCGCAUGAGGAAGUGAUGCCGUCUGCUCGUUGUUUCUCAACGACACCGAUGGUCUGGAAGCAGCUGGCUAUGAUUAUGAUGGCUCCGGUGACCUAAUGCCGGUGCAAGAAGGAGACCGUGAGGACGGCUCCCGUGACCCAAUGCCGGUGCAAGAAGGAGACCGUGAUGACGUCUCCGGUGACCGAACCGAGUCCGGCAAGGUAUAUAUAUUAGUUAAGCUUCUGUUGACUAGCUAAUUGAUGCAUUCAUUGUUUUGGUAUGUACACAUAUUAAUUAAGUCUUUAUUCUUUUUUCUAGCCCUCCAGAUCAAGCACAACUUCGGUAAAGAUACGAGGCCCGAAGAAAAAGUUAAGCUCGGAUGAAAAGUUUGAGAUCAUAGCAAUCGCGCCCGAUGGCCAACCGAUUGAACCCCUCGGACAAAGAGCGCAUUUGUUGCUCAGUGCGGGGUUUUGGUUAGGGACAAGAUCCCGAUCAGCAUCCAGCAAUGGUUUAAGCCGGCUACAGAAGACCCUGAGGUGUCUUAUGUCAAUGAUAUGCAGAAAAAUGAUCUUUGGACUGAGCUGAAGUCAAAUUUCACCCUACCGCCAGAGGAUAAUCCAGAGAAGCCAGUUAAAGAGCAAUUAAUCAAGUCUUUUGCUCUUAAGAGGAUGGCAGAACUAUUCAGGAGGUGGAAGAAAGAGCUGAAUAAGUUUGUCGAAAAUAAUGAGACACCAGAAUUCAAGGGCGGAUAUGAGAAGAUCAGAGAUCACUGGCCCGCAUUUGUGGCCCACAAGACAUCAGAAAAGAGUAAGAAGAUGUCUGCGACAAACAAGCAAAAUGCUGCGAAGAAGAAGCUGUUGGAAAUAUGCCCUAGAGGCAAUAAUAAAUUAGUUAUUAUUAUUAUUAUAUUUCAUUGUUCAUGAUAAUCGUUUAUUAUCCAUGCUAGAAUUGUAUUGAUAGGAAACUCAGAUACAUGUGUGGAUACAUAGACAACACCAUGUCCCUAGUAAGCCUCUAGUUGACUAGCUCGUUGAUCAAUAGAUGGUUACUGUUUCCUGACCAUGGACAUUGGAUGUCGUUGAUAACGGGAUCACAUCAUUAGGAGAAUGAUGUGAUGGACAAGACCCAAUCCUAAGCCUAGCACAAAGAUCGUGUAGUUCGUAUGCUAAAGCUUUUCUAAUGUCAAGUAUCAUUUCCUUAGACCAUGAGAUUGUGCAACUCCCGGAUACCGUAGGAGUGCUUUGGGUGUGCCAAACGUCACAACGUAACUGGGUGGCUAUAAAGGUACACUACAGGUAUCUCCGAAAGUAUCUGUUGGGUUGGCACGAAUCGAGACUGGGAUUUGUCACUCCGUGUAACGGAGAGGUAUCUCUGGGCCCACUCAGUAGGACAUCAUCAUAAUGUGCACAAUGUGACCAAGGAGUUGAUCACGCGAUGAUGUGUUACAGAACGAGUAAAGAGACUUGCCGGUAACGAGAUUGAACAAGGUAUCGGGAUACCGACGACCGAAUCUCGGGCAAGUAUCGUACCGCUAGACAAAGAGAAUUGUAUACAGGAUUGAUUGAAUCCUUGACAUCGUGGUUCAUCCGAUGAGAUCAUCGUGGAACAUGUGGGAGCCAACAUGGGUAUCCAGAUCCCGCUGUUGGUUAUUGGCCGGAGAGUUGUCUCGGUCAUGUCUGCAUGGUUCCCGAACCCGUAGGGUCUACACACUUAAGGUUCGAUGACGCUAGGGUUAUAGGGAAUAGAUAUACGUGGUUAAUGGAUGUUGUUCGGAGUCCCGGAUGAGAUCCCGGACGUCACGAGGAGUUCCGGAAUGGUCCGGGGGUAAAGAUUUAUAUAUGGGAAGUCCUGUUUUGGUCGCCGGAAAAGUUUCAGGUUUAUCGGUAAUGUACCGGGACCCACCAAGUGGGGCCACCAGCCCCAGAGGGCUGGAUGGGCCAAGUGUGGGAGGGGACCAGCCCCAGGUGGGCUGGUGCGCCCCGCCACAAGGGCCCAAGGCGCCUAGGGUUUGGGGAGGGGGCGCCUCCACCUAGCUUGGGGGGCAAGUGUCCCCUCUCCCCCCUUGGCCGCCACCCUAGAUGGGUUUGGGGCUGCCGCACCCCUUGGGGUGGAAACCCUAAAGGGGGCGCACCGCCUCCCUCUCCCCUAUAUAUACUUGAGGACUUUGGGGCUGCCAACAGAUGAGUUUUGACCUCUCCAUGGCGCAGCCCUGCCUCUCUCCCUCCUCCUCUCCCACGGUGCUUGGCGAAGCCCUGCAGGAUUGCCACGCUCCUCCACCACCACCACGCCGUCGUGCUGCUGCUGGAUGGAGUCUUCCCCAACCUCUCCUUCUCCCCUUGCUGGAUCAAGGCGUAGGAGACGUCACCGGGCUGCACGUGUGUUGAACGCGGAGGUGCCGUCCGUUCGACACUAGGAUCUCCGGUGAUUUGAAUCACGACAAGUACGACUCCAUCAACCCCGUUCACUUGAACGCUUCCGCUUAGAGAUCUACAAGGGUAUGUAGAUGCACUCUCCUUCCCCUCGUUGCUAGAUUACUCCAUAGAUUGAUCUUGGUGUUGCAUAGAAAAUUUUGAAUUUCUGCUACGUUCCCAAAUAGUGGUAUCAGAGCUAGGUCUAUGCGUAGUUUCUAUGCACGAGUAGAACACAAGUUGUUGUGGGCGUCGAUUUUGUCAUUUUGCUUGCCGUUACUAGUCUUAUCUUGAUUCGGCGGCAUCAUGGGAUGAAGCGUCCCGGACCGACCUUACACGUACUCUUAUGUGAGACUGGUUCCACCGACUGACAUGCACUAGUUGCAUAAGGUGGCUAGCGGGUGUCUGUCUCUCCCACUUUAGUCGGAUCGGAUUCGAUGAAAAGGGUCCUUAUGAAGGGUAAAUAGAAAUUGGCAUAUCACGUUGUGGUUUUCGUGUAGGUAAGAAACGUUCUUGCUAGAAAUCUAUAGCAGCCACGUAAAAACUUGCAACAACAAUUAGAGGAUGUCUAACUUGUUUUUGCAGCAAGUGUUUUGUGAUGUGAUAUGGCCAAAAGGAUGUGAUGUAUGAGAUUGAUCAUGUUCUUGUAAUAGGAAUCACGACUUGCAUGUCGAUGAGUAUGACAACCGGCAGGAGCCAUAAGAGUUGUCUUUAUUUAUUUAUGACCUGCGUGUCAACAUAAACGUCAUGUAAUUACUUUACUUUAUUGCUAAAGAGUUAGCCAUAGUAAUAGAAGUAAUAGAUGACGAGACAACUUCAAGAAGACACGAUGAUGGAGAUCAUGAUGAUGGAGAUCAUGGUGUCAUGCCGGUGACAACGAUGAUCAUGGAGCCCCGAAGAUGGAGAUCAAAAGGAGCAAAAUGAUAUUGGCCAUAUCAUGUCACUAUUUGAUUGCAUGUGAUGUUUAUCAUGUUUUACAUCUUAUUUGCUUAGAACGACGGUAGCUUAAAUAAGAUGAUCCCUCUCUAAAAUUUCAAGAAAAGUGUUCCCCCUAACUGUACACCAUUGCGAAGGUUCAUUGUUUCGAAGCACCACGUGAUGAUCGGGUGUGAUAGAUUCUAACGUUCGAAUACAACGGGUGUAAGCCAGAUUUACACAACAAAAACACUUAGGUUGACUUGAUGAGCCUAGCAUGUACAGACAUGGCCUCGGAACACGGAAGACCAAAAGGUUGAGCAUGAGUCGUAUAGAAGAUAUGAUCAACAUGAAGAUGUUCACCGAUGUUGACUAGUCCGUCUCACGUGAUGAUCGGACACGGCCUAGUUGACUCGGAUCAUGUUUCACUUAGAUGACUAGAGGGAUGUCUAUCUGAGUGGGAGUUCAUUAGAUGAACUCAAUUAUCAUGAACAUAGUCUAAAUUGUCUUUGCAAAUAUGUUGUAGAUAAAUAGCUCACGUUGUAGCUCCCUAUUUCAAUACGUUCCUAGAGAAAGAUUAAGUUGAAAGAUAUUGUAAGCAAUGACGCGGACUGGGUCCAUAGUCCGAGGAGUGUCCUCACCGCUACACAGAAAGCUUACAUCUUUGAUGCACCGCUCGAUGUGCAAACCCCUACAACGUCGUCUGUGGAUGUUGUGAACACCUGACAGACACGUCCUGAUGACUACUUGAUAGUUUAGUGCACCAUACUUUACGGCUUAGAAUCGGGAUUCGAAUGAUGUUUUAAAUGCCAUAGAACAUAUGAGAUGUUCCAAGAGCUGAAAUUGGGAUUUCAGGCUCAUGCCUGUGUUGAGAGGUGUGAGACCUCUGACAAGUUCUUUAGCCAACAAGAUGGAGGAGAAUAGCUCAGCUAGUGGGCAUGUGCUCAGAAUGUCUGGGUGCUACAAUCACUUAAAUCAAGUGGGAGUUAAACUUCCAGAUAAGAUAGUGAUUGAUAGAGUUCUCUAGCCACUAUCACUAAGCUACUAGAUCUUCGUGAUGAACUAUGACAUGCAAGGGAUGGAGUUGGUCCCGGAGUUGUUCGCGGUGCUUAAGACCGUAAAGGAUAGAAAUCAAGAAGGAGCAUCAAGUGUUGAUGGUUUAACAAGACCACUGGUUUCAAGAAGGGCAAGGGCUAGAAGGGAAACUUCAUGGAUGGCAAACCAGUUGCCGCUCCAGUGAAGGAACCCAAGGUUGAACCCAAACCCGAGACUAAGUGCUUCUAUUGUAAGGGGAACGGUCACUGGUAGCGGAAUUACCCCAAAUGCAUGGUAGAUAAGAAGGCUGGCAACUUCAACAAAGUAUAUACGUGUUAUUAAUGUGUACCUCGCUAGUACUCCUGGUAGCACCUGGGUAUUGGAUACCGGUUCAGUUACUAUUAUUGGUGACUUGAAGCAAAAGCUACGGACUAAACGGAGACUGGCUGAGGGCGAGGUGACGAUGUGUGUUGGAAGUGUUUCCAAAGUUGAUGAGAUCACCAUCGCACGCUCCAUCUGCCUUCGGGAUUAGUAUUGAACCUAGAUAAAUGUUAUCAGGUGUCUACGUUGAGCAUGAAUAUGAUUAGAUCAUGUUCAUUGCAAUACGGUCAUUCAUUUAAGUUAGAGAAUAAUGGUUAUUCUGUUUACAUGAAUGAUACCUUUCAUGGUCAUGCACCCUAUGUGAAUGGUUCAUUGAAUCUCGGUCGUGGUAAUACACAUGUUCACGCCAAAAGAUGUAGAGUUAAUAAUGAUAGUACCACUUUCUCGUAGCACUGCCACUUAGGUCAUAUUGGCGUAAGAUGCAUGAAGAAACUCCAUGUCAAUGGAUGUUUGGAGUCACUUGAUUUUGAAUCACUUGACACAUGCGAGCCAUGCCUCAUGGGCAGGAUGACUAAGAUCCCGUUUUCAGGUACAAUGAAAUGGGCAAGUGACUUGUUGGAAAUCAUACAUGCUGAUGCGUGUGAUCCAAUAAGAAUUGAAGCAUGCGGUGGAUAUCGCUAUUUUCUCAUCUUCACUGAUGAUUUGAGUAGAUAUAGGUAUAUUUACUUAAUGAAGCACAAGUCUGAAAUGUUUGAAAAGUUCAAGCGAUUUCAGAGUGAAGUUAAGAAUCAUCAUAACAAAAAGAUCAUGUUCCUACGAUCUGAUCAAAAGGGGAUUUUCUGAGUUAUGAGUUUGGCAAUCACUUAAGACAUUGUGGAAUUGUUUCACAGUUGAAGCCACCUAGAACACCACAGAGUAAUGGUGUGUCCAGACGUCGUAAUCGAACCUUAUGAGAUAUGGUGCGAUCUAUGAUGUCUCUUACCGAUCUACCGUUUUCAUUUUGAGGUUAUGCAUUAGAGACAGCUGCAUUCACUUUAGAUAGGACACCAUCUAAGUCCAUUGAGACGACAUCGUAUGAACAUUGGUUUGGCAAGAAACCAAAGUUGUCGUUUCUUAAUGUUUGGGGCUGCGAUGCUUAAGGCUUCAGCCAGAGAAGCUCGAACCCAAAGCGGACAAACACAUCUUCAUAGGAUACCCAAAGGUGAUAGUUGGGUAUACCUUCUAUCUCAGAUCCGAGGGCAAAUUGUUUGUCGCUAAGAACGGGUCCUUUCUCGAGAAGGAGUUUCUCUCGAAAGAAUUGAGUGGGAGGAAGAUAGAACUUGAUGAGGUUGUUGAACCUUUAUUUCAACCAGAGAAUGAUGCAACACAGAAAGAUAUUUUCUGUGGCACCUACGUCUAUUGAAUAGGAAGUUAAUGAUAGUGAUCAUGAAGCUUCGGAUCAAGUUGCUAUCGAACCUCGUAGGUCGACAAGGAUAUGUACUACUCCUAAGUGGUACGGUAAUCCUGUCUUAGAUAUCAUGUUGUUAGACAACAAUGAACCUACGAGCUAUGGAGAAGCGAUGGUGGGCCCGUAUUCCGACAAAUGGUUAGAAGCCAUGAAAUCUGAGAUAGGAUCCAUAUAUCAGAACAAAGUAUGGACUUUGGUGGACUUGCCCGAUGAUCGGCAAGCCAUUGAGAUAAAUGGAUCUUUAAGAAGAAGACGAACGUGGGCCGUAAUGUUACCGUCUAUGAAGCUCGACUUGUGGGAAAGAGCCUUUUCACAAGUUCAAGGAGUUGACUACGAUGAGAAUUUCUCACCCGUAGCGAUGCUUAAGUCCGUCGGAAUCAUGUUAGCAUUAGCUGUAUUUUUCAAUUAUGAAAUCUAACAGAUGGAUGUCAAAGCAAGUUUUCUUACCAGUUUUCGUAAGAAAGAGUUGUAUGUGAUACAAUCAAAGUUUUGUCGAUCCUAAGGAUGCUAAAAGGUAUGCUGGCUCCAGCAAUCCUUCUAUGGACUAGAGCAAGCAUCUCAGAAUCGGAAUAUAUGUUUUGAUGGAGUGAUCAAAGCUUUUAGGUUUAUACAAUGUUUGCUAGAAACUUGUAUUUACAAGAAAGUGAGUGGGAGCACUACAAUAUUUCUGAUAAGUAUAUGUGGAUGACAUAUUGUUGAUCUGAAAUAAUGUAGAAUUUCUGGAAAGCAUAAACGGUUGUUUGAAGAGUGAUUUUCAAAGGAAGACCUGGAUAAAGCUGCUUACAUAUUGGGCAUCAAGAUCUAUAGAUAGAUCAAGACGCCUGAUGAUACUUUCAAAGAACGCACACCUUGACAUGUUUUCGAAGGAGUUCAAAAUAGAUCAGUCAAAGAAGGGGUUCUUACCUGAGUUGUAAGGUCUGAAGUUGAGUAAGACUCAAAGAUUGACCACGGCAGAAGAAAGAGGAAGGACGAAGGUCGUCCCCUAUGCUCUUGUCAUAGGCUCUAUACGGUAUGCCAUGCUGAGUACCACACCUGAUGUGUGCCUUGCCACAUGUCUGGCAAGAGGGUACAAAGGUGAUCUAGGAGUAGAUCACUAGAUAGCGGUCAAAAUUAUCCUUAGAGGAAUAAGGAAAUGUUUCUUGGUUAUGGAGGUGAUAAAGAGUUCGACGUAAAGAGUUACGUCGAUGCAAGCUUAACACCUAUCCGGAUAGCUCUGAGUAGAGAUACCGAAUACGUAUAAUGGAGCAACAAUUUGGAAUAGCUCCAAGUGGAACGUGGUAGCAGCAUCUACGAUAUGACAUAAAGUUUUGCGAAAUACAUAGGGAUCUGAAUAUGGCAAGACCCGUUGACUACAACCUCCCUCACAAGCAUAACAUGAUCAAACACAGAACUCUUUGAGCGUUUAUCACAUAGUGAUGUGAAUUAGAUCAUUGAGUCUAGUAGACUCUUGGAUGUUGGUCACAUGGCGAUGUGACCUGUGAGUGUUAAUCACAUGGCGAUGUGAACUAGAUUAUUGACUCUAGUGCAAGUGGGAGACUGUUGGAAAUAUGCCCUAGAGGCAAUAAUAAAUUAGUUAUUAUUAUUAUAUUUCAUUGUUCAUGAUAAUCGUUUAUUAUCCAUGCUAGAAUUGUAUUGAUAGGAAACUCAGAUACAUGUGUGGAUACAUAGACAACACCAUGUCCCUAGUAAGCCUCUAGUUGACUAGCUCAUUGAUCAAUAGAUGGUUACUGUUUCCUGACCCAUGGACAUUGGAUGUCGUUGAUAACGGGAUCACAUCAUUAGGAGAAUGAUGUGAUGGACAAGACCCAAUCCUAAGCCUAGCACAAAGAUCGUGUAGUUCGUAUGCUAAAGCUUUUCUAAUGUCAAGUAUCAUUUCCUUAGACCAUGAGAUUGUGCAACUCCCGGAUACCGUAGGAGUGCUUUGGGUGUGCCAAACGUCGCAACGUAACUGGGUGGCUAUAAAGGUACACUACAGGUAUCUCUGAAAGUCUCUGUUGGGUUGGCACUAAUCGAGACUGGGGUUUGUCACUCCAUGUAACGGAGAGGUAUCUCUGGGCCCACUCGGUAGGACAUCAUCAUAAUGUGCACAAUGUGACCAAGGAGUUGAUCACGGGAUGAUGUGUUAUGGAACGAGUAAAUAGACUUGCCGGUAAUGAGAUUGAACAAGGUAUCGGGAUACCGACGAUCGAAUCUCGGGCAAGUAUCGUACCGCUAGACAAAGGGAAUUGUAUACAGGAUUGAUUGAAUCCUUGACAUCGUGGUUCAUCCAAUGAGAUCAUCGUGGAAUAUGUGGGAGCCAACAUGGGUAUCUAGAUCCCGCUGUUGGUUAUUGGCCGGAGAGUUGUCUCGGUCAUGUCUGCAUGGUUCCCGAACCCGUAGGGUCUACACACUUAAGGUUCGAUGACGCUAGGGUUAUAGGGAAUAGAUAUACGUGGUUACCGAAUGUUGUUCGGAGUCCCGGAUGAUAUCCCGGACGUCACGAGGAGUUCCGGAAUGGUCCGGAGGUAAAGAUUUAUAUAUGGGAAGUCCUGUUUUGGUCGCCGGAAAAGUUUCCGGUUUUAUCGGUAAUGUACCGGGACCACCGGGAGGGUCCCGGUGGUCCACCAAGUGGGGCCACCAGCCCCGAAGGGCUGCAUGGGCCAACUGUGGGAGGGGACCAGCCCCAGGUGGGCUGGUGCACCCCCCCACAAGGGCCCAAGGCGCCUAGGGUUUGGGGAGGGGCGCCUCCACCUAGCUUGGGGGGCAAGUUUCCCCUCUCCCCCCUUGGCCACCACCCUAGAUGGGUUUGGGGCUGCCGCACCCCUUGGGGUGGAAACCCUAAAGGGGGCGCACCCCCCUCCCUCUCCCCUAUAUAUACUUAGGACUUUGGGGCUGCCAACAGAUGAGUUUGACCUCUCCAUGGCGCAGCCCUGCCUCUCUCCCUCCUCCUCUCCCGCGGUGCUUGGUGAAGCCCUGCAGGAUUGCCACGCUCCUCCACCACCACCACGUCGUUGUGCUGCUACUGGAUGGAGUCUUCCCCAACCUCUCCUUCUCCCCUUGAUGGAUCAAGGCGUAGGAGACGUCAUCGGGAUGCACGUGUGUUGAACGCGGAGGUGCCAUCCGUUCAGCACUAGGAUCUCCGGUGAUUUGAAUCACGACGAGUAUGACUCCAUCAACCCCGUUCACUUGAACGCUUCCGCUUAGCGAUCUACAAGGGUAUGUAGAUGCACUCUCCUUCCCCUCGUUGCUAGAUUACUCCAUAGAUUGAUCUUGGUGUUGCGUAGAAAAUUUUGAAUUUCUGCUACGUUCUCCAACAGAAGCAUCACCAUCACACGGGGUCAGGUGGCUACCUCGUAGCCCGGCCUAAGUGGGCCAAGACUGAGAAUGAUCUGGUUGAUAAAGGGAUCGAACCAGAGACAAUUAACUGGCCAGACCAUUACCGGACUUGGUUCUUCGGGGCUGGCGGAACCUUGGACCCUGUAACAGGGAAGUGCAUUUGGACGAACGAUCAAAUGGACAUACCAGUCAGGAAGCUUCAGCAGUAUAUCGAAGCAGCGCAGCAAGGGACGUUCUUUCCAGACAGAGAGAACGACGAGCUCACAAUGGCCCUUGGGAAUCCUGAGCACUCUGGAUGGACACGAGGCACGCCAGGCUCCAUUCCGUGGAAGGUUGGGUUUCCGAACACAGGCGGUUAUAAAUCCCAUGAGAGGAGGAAAAAAUUGCAGCAGACCCAAAUGCAGGCGCUGCAAGCAAGGGUACAAGCGAUAGAGGAACGAGAAGCAAAUCGCAGCAAACGUACUGCCGAAGCUUCCCCCGAAGCUACCCUGCCAUCUCAGCGGAGAAGCAGCGUGGCUUCCACCGAGCUGCUUCAGCCGGAGCAUGCCUUGACGGCUCCUGCUAGCUAUCCCGUGGAUGCUAUCACGGAGUCUCAAAAUUGCCACCUUAUGAUGUAAUGGAUGAAUUUGAAGGUCAAGGCGGCUGUUGGCUCUGUUUAUCCUACUGAACCCGGCGCAACUUUUCACUACUGACCGAUUCCGAA